rnacentral:rRNA from 1 species
GCGUUGAAAAGCUCGGGGAUGACUUGUGGGUAGCGGUGAAAUUCCAAUCGAGCCCGGAGAUAGCUGGUUCUCCCCGAAAUAGCUUUAGGGCUAGCCUCAAGGUGAGAGAUACGGAGGUAGAGCACUGAAUGUCCUAGGGGGUAUUGCACCUACCGAAGACUAUCAAACUCCGAAUGCCGUCAUCUUAUACUUGGGAGUCAGACUGUGGGUGAUAAGAUUCAUAGUCGAAAGGGCAACAGCCCAGAUCGUCAGCUAAGGUCCCUAAAUGUAAGUUAAGUGGUAAAGGAUGUGGGAUUGCACAGACAACCAGGAUGUUGGCUUAGAAGCAGCCACUCAUUCAAAGAGUGCGUAAUAGCUCACUGGUCGAGUGAUCCUGCGCCGAAGAUUUCCGGGGCUAAAACUUACUACCGAAGCUACGGCAUCAGUAAUGAUGGGUAGGGGAGCUUCCCAUACGGGUUGAAGCAUGACCGUAAGGACAUGUGGACAGUAUGGGAGUGAGAAUGUUGGCAUGAGUAGCGAGAUGUGGGUGAGAAUCCCACAGGCCGUAAACCCAAGGUUUCCAGGGGAAGGUUCGUCCGCCCUGGGUUAGUCGGGACCUAAGCUGAGGCCGAAAGGCGUAGGUGAUGGACAACAGGUUGAUAUUCCUGUACUACCGAUAACCGUUUGAGAGAAGGGAUGACACAGUAGGAUAAGCUAAGCACACUGUUGGUUAUGUGUGCCCAAGCAUUGAGGCAGUCAAAGUAGGCAAAUCCGCUUUGAUAAUGCUGGGAUGUGAUGGGGAGCGAAAUUUAGUAGCGAAGUAGCUGAUUUCACACUGUCAAGAAAAGUCUCUAUCGAGGUUAAAGGUACCCGUACCGCAAACCGACACAGGUGGGUGAGGAGAGUAUCCUAAGGCCAGCGAGAGAACUGUUGUUAAGGAACUCGGCAAAAUGACCCCGUAACUUAGGGAUAAGGGGUGCCACCAUCAGGUGGCCGCAGAGAAUAGGCCCAAGCGACUGUUUACCAAAAACAUAGGUUUCUGCUAAGUCGCAAGACGAUGUAUAGGAGCUGACGCCUGCCCGGUGCUGGAAGGUUAAGGGGAUCUGUUAGAGCAAUCGAAGCAGUGAACUUAAGCCCCAGUAAACGGCGGCCGUAACUAUAACGGUCCUAAGGUAGCGAAAUUCCUUGUCGGGUAAGUUCCGACCCGCACGAAAGGCGUAACGAUUUGGGCACUGUCUCAACAACAGACUCGGUGAAAUUGUAAUUCCGGUGAAGAUGCCGGAUACCUG